rnacentral:rRNA from 1 species
AGAGUUUGAUCCUGGCUCAGAACGAACGCUGGCGGCAGUAACACAUGCAAGUCGAACGCAUCCUUCGGGGUGAGUGGCAGACGGGUGAGUAACGCGUGGGAACGUGCCCUUCAGUUCGGAAUAACCCAGGGAAACUUGGGCUAAUACCGGAUACGUGCGAGAGCAGAAAGAUUUAUCGCUGAAGGAUCGGCCCGCGUCUGAUUAGCUAGUUGGUGGGGUAAUGGCCCACCAAGGCGACGAUCAGUAGCUGGUCUGAGAGGAUGAUCAGCCACAUUGGGACUGAGACACGGCCCAAACUCCUACGGGAGGCAGCAGUGGGGAAUAUUGGACAAUGGGCGCAAGCCUGAUCCAGCCAUGCCGCGUGAGUGAUGAAGGCCUUAGGGUUGUAAAGCUCUUUCGGCGGGGACGAUAAUGACGGUACCCGCAGAAGAAGCCCCGGCUAACUUCGUGCCAGCAGCCGCGGUAAUACGAAGGGGGCUAGCGUUGUUCGGAAUCACUGGGCGUAAAGGGCGCGUAGGCGGCUUGAUAAGUCGGGGGUGAAAGCCUGUGGCUCAACCACAGAAUUGCCUUCGAUACUGUCUGGCUUGAGACCGGAAGAGGUAAGUGGAACUGCGAGUGUAGAGGUGAAAUUCGUAGAUAUUCGCAAGAACACCAGUGGCGAAGGCGGCUUACUGGUCCGGUUCUGACGCUGAGGCGCGAAAGCGUGGGGAGCAAACAGGAUUAGAUACCCUAGUAGUCC